CUGGACCAUCUCCGUCUCCUUGCCUGUUAUAUCACUCUUCUGGCCCUCCCUCUCUCCACCAGUUGGCUUUCUAUGUUUCCUCUUUUUUUUUUUUUUUAAUGAGGGACAGAGUAAGAGAGAGGUACAGUGAGUUUGCUUGGUUCUGGAUUAUGGCAGUGCAGGGGAUUGAACCAGGGAUUAUAGACCUUCAGGAAUGAACAUCCUUUACAGUCUCAUUAUGCUAUCUCCCCAUAUUCUCCUCAACCUUUCUCUUUCUAAAAAUAAUUUAUUUACUUAUUGGCUAUAGGCAUAGAGAUAGAGAGGAGAGGGGAAGAGAUAGAGAUAGACACCUGCAGCAUUGCUUCACUGAUCCUGAAGCUUGCCCCCUGCAGGCAGGGACUGGGAGCUUGAACCCAGGACAUUGAGCAUUGGAACAUGUGCACUCAACCAGAGCCACCUCCUCCUGGACACUCCCAGCUUCCUCUCUGUCUUGAAGUGCAUGCCACCUUCAAGAUAGUUCCCUCUGGCUUCUGCCUCCUCUUUCACCAUCCCCAAGUAUAUCCUGAGCCCACCUCAGUGCCUUCAACUCUCUGCCCACCAUAACCCCAUCCCAGAUAGAUGAUUGACUUACCUGAGGCAAAGCCCAGGAUAACCACAGCCAUCAGCCAGCAGAAUCGCAUCAAGUCACCAAAAAUCAUCUGGAGGAGGAAGAAUAUUUCCAGUGAUGCCUGGAGCCACUGCCCCUCCCAGCCUCUAGCAAGUCUGGGCCUCCUACAGCUGCACCCUCUAUAAAGAAUCCUGACAAAAGGCCGGGUCAGUCUUGGUGACCUCUGUGAGCUAAGAGUGGUCUCUAAGCAUCUAAAGCAUUGGAAGGAAAAGAUGAAGGAGAAGACGGUGGAGAGGAAUACCCCAGGGACCCAAUGUGCUUUGCCAAGUAAAACUCUCUUCUUUACUUCAUGGAAGUAUUUUCAGCAACCUUUAAGGUUUCUUUCCCUCCAGGCAAUGUGGGAAACUGGUGGGGAGGGGGGAGGCACGGACCUUCUGGAUCAUGAUGGUGAAGGGGCCCAGCAUCUGGAAUCCUCGGGCAAAGUACAUGACGUUGCACCAGCCCAGCACCAGGGCGAAGGACAUGGGUACCACCUCCCCAUCAGUGUUGGUGAGACGCAUCACCAUGGUCACCAAGACCAUGCAGGCGUAGGUGAUGCUGGGGAGAGAGCCAGAAGGGAGGAGGGUGAGAGGGGCUGUGGAGUCCUGGGGGACCUGGGAGUGAGAAUGUAACCCACAUGGUAUACCCACCCACAGACUCAUCUCAGUACACCAAGUCACACCCCAUCCUUGGCAGGGAAGAAAAUGAGAAAAGACUCACAUGAGGACAUGGAAUGGGCCCCCGAGGAUGGUGUGUCCAAAAAAGCGAGAGACGCCCACCCUGAAGAUAUCUGGAAUCUAGAGAGGUCAGGGAUACACAAGGAUGUUGGCAGGCACAUGCUCAGGCUAAAUCCAGGGGGUAGCCAGCCUCCCCCCUCCCAACGCCUGUCCAUACCCCACCUCCACAAACAGGAUGAUCAAGGCUCCCACCACUGACAUCAGCUCUCCCACCAGCCUCAGAUCAUCCUGGGGGGUCACGUAGGCUUCCUGGGAGGGGGAGAUGAGGGGAGACAUCAGAGCACUGAGGGGUUCCAUGUCCUGGGUAUCCGGUGUCCCCUGGGUUGUUACCAGCUUAACAGUGUGCCCUCAGCCUGCUGGGCUUGGGCUGGCUCAAACUCUUGCUCUUGGGGUGCACCCUAGUUUCUGUGGGAUGCAGGCUGAGUGUGCCAUGGUCUUGGAGAUGUGGGCUGGGUAGUAGGACAGGAACUCACAUCCCAAAGUGUUUGCCACCAGGAAUCUUGUUUUUAUACCAGCAAUGAGGGGAAUCAGGAAAACACCACAAGAAGCCUGGCACGGUUUCUCUUAUCUGAGGGAGAAGAGGAAAAAAGGAAAGACACCCAAAAAUAGCAACAGAUGUAGGAGUGACUUGGAAAGGAAGUGAAGGGUGGUCCAAAAGGUGGGGUAAUGGAUAAAGUAUUGGACUCUUAAGCAUGAAGUCCUGAGUUCAAUCCCUAGCAGCACAAGUGCCAGAGUGAUGUUGGUUCCUUCUCUCUCUUCCUAUAUUUCUCAUUAAUAAAAUCUUUUUAAAAAGAGAGAAAGAAAAAGGGAAAGAAAGAAAGUAAAGGCAGGACCAUUGAAAAAUACUCUAACUUGAAGAGCAUUCUCCAGUACCCUGGCAGUCCCCAAGAAUGGAGAAAUGUGGUUAGUUCUACCCUCCUGAUUCGAUUCUUUCUUCGAUGGGAAGACAUUUUUUAAAUGGGUGCUUGCAGCAAUCUUGCAGGAACAGUCAGAAGCACCCUAAAUGGAAUUUCGAGGAGCUUUUUGGACUAAGAUGCCCUCCAGGGACUCGUGAUGCUACAUGGUGAGAUCUGGAUAAUCUGGUUCGAGGUGAAAGAAGCAAAAGCUGCCUACGGCUUUUCUCUCGAUUCCCCCCUCGUUGUUCUCUUGGAAUAUCUUAAGUUUGCUGUCUGCUUUCAGUUGUGUUUCGUAAGAGAGUGAUUUGAAUGACUGAAUUUUUGUAUGACAUUAACUUAAAAAAAAAUUCUGGAUGCAGCCAUGAUUUCUAGAGACAUCCAGAAACAAUCCAAAAAACUGUUUUUUCCUCUUUUGAUUUUUUUUGAUAUAAAUCUGAAACAUUUAAUCCUGAAAACUGUAUGAGUUAUGGGCAGGGUAGAUAGUGCAAUGAUUAUGCUAAUGAUUCUCAUGCUUGAGGCUUCUAACCAUGGUUCUUCUGUUUACCUUUCCACAUUUUAUUGAGUUUAAAUUGUUAAAACAACCUUAAAAUCAUACUAGAAAGGACUUCCAAUUAUAAUGGAGUUAUCAAUUAUAGUAAACUUCUAAUCUGCUACAAGUUUUGUUUGACAAGUAAGUGAAUUACAGUUGUCAAGUCUUCAUAUGAAAAAGCAUCUGCUCAAAUGGAACCCCCGGAAAUCCAUUUGCACCCCUGUUCUCUGACAUUGCCUACAAGAUGGCACGACUACAGCAGCCCCACCCCCCCGCCAGAAACCAAUGAUGUGACCUGGAACGACCUGAAGAAACAGAUUCACAGACUGCAAAGCUCACUCUCUACAGAAAAGUAUAAUUACAGUGGUUGACCUUCCCCAUCUAGGCAGACAUGCAGCCUCUCAUCCCCUGGCAUUUCUUCUGUGGUCAUCUGCUUUGGACUGACACUUCUAUUGGACUUACUGGUACACCUCUUGGACACUUUACACAACUUUACAGUAGUUUCCCUUUAUGCUGCUGGGUUCUCAAAGACUGACAGCAGCAGUCCAUGGACUUUAUAGCCAUCUGCCUUGGGACUCUAUAGGCAACGGCCCCUCACCUACAGGCCCUGCCCCCAGAGGUAGGAAAACUCCCCUCCUUACUAAGUCCUGCCUACAGAGGCAGGAAAUGCCCUUUGAAGCAUGAAACACCCCAGAGGCAAGUGAUGCCCCCAGAGGCAGGAAGUGUCCUUUUGCCUGCUAAGCACUGCCCUUUGAGGCAGGAAACGCCCCUUCAGGCCUCCCCUUGGCAUCACACUGGUUCUUGCUGCUCUCUUACUUGUUCCUCCAUGUCUUGUGCCAAUUCUUUUGAAAAUGCCUGUAUGAUAUAGGUUUCUGUUCACCCCACACUCCUGAUACUAUGGCCAUUAGUUAAAAAGAAAGGGGGAAAUGUUGGUAUGCUUCUAAAUUCUGCUUCUAAGACCCCUCUGUUGCAUUGCUUGACGUUGUGGUCUAUUUACAUAAUCAUUGUUUUCACUGGUUUAAUCCCCACUGGUUCGUGCGCUAUUUUCCUUCUCCCCACCCCCUAUCCUAUGUAUUUCCUCUUCCUGACACUUCCGCCUCAGGAGACAUAAAAGACAGAGCUUUCUAAUGAAGAGAGAUUAGAAGAGAUUAGAUUGUUGGACUGCAUCCUUGCAUCCCAGCUCCUCAAUAAAGAUUGAACUGCAUUCUCAGCUCA